AACGAACGCUGGCGGCAGGCCUAACACAUGCAAGUCGAGCGAGACCUUCGGGUCUAGCGGCGGACGGGUUAGUAACGCGUGGGAAUAUGCCCAAAGGUACGGGAAUAGCCUCUGGAAACGGAGAGUAAUACCGUAUGUGCCCUUCGGGGAAAGGAUUUAUCGCCUUUGGAUUAGCCCGCGUUGGAUUAGAUAGUUGGUGGGGGUAAUGGCCUACCAAGUCUACGAUCCAUAGCUGGUUUGAGAGGAUGAUCAGCAACACUGGGACUGAGACACGGCCCAGACUCCUACGGGAGGCAGCAGUGGGGAAUCUUCGGCAAUGGGCGCAAGCCUGACCGAGCCAUGCCGCGUGAGCGAUGAAGGCCUUAGGGUUGUAAAGCUCUUUCGCCAGGGAUGAUAAUGACAGUACCUGGUAAAGAAACCCCGGCUAACUCCGUGCCAGCAGCCGCGGUAAAGGUCAGUGACU
rnacentral:rRNA from 1 species